rnacentral:lncRNA from 1 species
CCCCGCGAUAUGCAACUUUUCAGAGAAGUCAGUAACCAAUACACACAGUCAGUUAGGAAAGCAAAGGCUAGCUCUUUCAAACAGAAAUUUGCAUCCUGUAGCUCUAACUCCAAAAAGUUUUGGGACACUGUAAAGUUCAUGGAGAAUAACAGCACCUCCUCCCAGCUGCCCACUGCACUGAGGCUAGGAAACAAUGUCACCACCGAUAAAUCCACGAUAAUCGAGAACUUCAAUAAGCAUUUCUCUUCGGCUGGCCAUGCUUUCCUCCUGGCUACCUCAACAGCUCCGCACCCCACCAGCUACUUGCCCAAGCCUCCCCUCCGCUUCUACUUCACCCAAAUCCAGAUAGCUGAUGUUCUGAAAGAGCUGCAAAACCUGGACCCGUACAAAUCAGCUGGGCUAGACAAUCUGGACCCUCUCUUUCUAAAAUUAUCCACUGCCAUUAUUGCAAGCCCUAUUACUAGUCUUUUCAACCUCUCCUUCGUAUCGUCCAAGAUUCCUAAAGAUUGGAAAGCUGCCGCUGCCAUCCCCCUCUUCAAAGGGGGUGACACUCUAGACCCAAACUGUUACAGACCUAUAUCCAUCCUGCUCUGCCGUUCUAAAGUCUUCAAAAGCCAAGUUAACAAACAGAUUACUGAUCAUUUCGAAUCCCACCGUACCUUCUCAGCUGUACAAUCCGGUUUCCGAGCUGGUCACGGGUGCACCUCAGCCACGCUCGAGGAACUAAACGAUAUCAUAACCGCCAUUGAUAAAAGAUAGUACUGUGCAGCCGUCUUCAUCGACCUGGCCAAGGCUUUUGACUCUGUCAAUCACAGUAUUCUUAUCGGCAGACUCAACAGCCUUGGUUUCUUUUCUCAAAUGACUGCCUCGCCUGGUUCACCAACUUCUUCUCAGAAAGAGUUCAGUGUGUCAAAUCGGAGGGCCUGUUGUCCAGACCUCUGGCAGUCUCUAUGGGGGUACCACAGAAUUCAAUUCUCGGGCCGACUAUUUUCUCUGUAUAUAUCAAAGAUGUCGCUCUUUCUGCGGGUGAUUCCUUGACCCACCGCUACGCGGACGACACCAUUCUGUAUACACCUGGCCCUUCUUUGGAAACUGUGUUAACAAACCUCCAAACGAGCUUCAAUGCCAUACAAC